CAACCACGAUCCGCUGAUCGUUUCAAAAUAGAAUGAAUCUGAAUGAAUAAAUCGAGAAAACGCCGAACAUAAACAGACGACAUUGACCAAUUUUCAUUUUAUCUGUUGGUGAACAAAAGCGAAUGCAUUACACCAAUAUUGGCGAAAACGAUCCAGGAACCAGUAUAUCUAGUUAAAGAUUGCAUUACUACUAUGUGAAUGCCUAGCUGAUUCUUGUUGACAACGUCGACUGUAGCAACUGAUACAAAAGCUAACAGGAAUACUGAAAAAAAUCGAAAUUUUGCGGUCGUUGUCGUCUCCACAUACAUUCGAUUCCAGAAACUUGGUUAUUUCUUUUUUUUUUUGGUUCUGUUCAUACGACUAUAACUCAUAUCUACAUGGCUAUUAUUGAUAAUGACCAUUCAUAAUAACCAGAAUCAUCAUGCAUAUUACUACUCCGUUCAUCACUUGGUCCUUGAGAUUCUUCUUCCAAACAAAAAACAUUACACAAUGAUGACGCAAUUGUUUGAUUAUCUCUCUCUGCAUUCUUUUUCUAUCAAGUUAUUUUUGUUGUUGUUCUGGUGACAAGAAUUCAAUGAAAAGAAGGAAAAGUUAUUAAUAAUAAUCAACGAAAUGUUGUACGUCCAAUCCAUUUGAAUGAUGGCUUGAUGAAAUGAGAGAACAAUAAUUUCAAUUCCAUACCGCCA